rnacentral:rRNA from 1 species
UACGAGUGCCUCAAGCGUUAUCCGGAAUCAUUGGGCGUAAAGGAUGUGUAGGUGGCCGCAUUAGUCUCUCGUUAAAACCCCGGGCUUAACCCGGGUCCUGCGGGAGAAACGGUGCGACUAGAGGAUGCAAGGGGUCUGCGGAACUCAUAGUGUAGCGGUGAAAUGCGUUGAUAUUAUGGGGAACACCAAAAGCGAAGGCAGCAGACUGGGGCACUCCUGACACUGAAACAUGAAAGCGUGGGUAGCGAAAGGG